rfam:Ornithorhynchus anatinus chromosome 7, whole genome shotgun sequence.
AGCAGCGUGGCUCAGUGGAAAGAGCCCGGGCUUAGGAGCCAGAGGUUAUGGGUUCGAAUCCCGGCUCUGCCA